UAGGGCCACUUUACCUAACUUUUGAUAGAUUUGAAAUGUUCGACAUUACAGCAAUAUCCCAUCAGUAUGAGGUGACUGUCCUCGUUCCAAAAGCAACAUCGAUAGAUGUCUGGACGGUUUUCAUAUUAGAAUUGUCUACAGGUGCAUGGGUAUUAUUAAUUGUGUCUUUAUUAAUUCAUACUCUUGCUUUGAUAUUUAUCAAAAGAUGUUAUCAGUAUAUACUCGUACAUGGGCAAAUUAAUAAUGCAUCUCUGGUAUCUUUGCGAUUGGUUUACGCAAUCGCCGUCCAACAAUCCGUUCC